UACGUAGGGUGCGAGCGUUGUCCGGAAUCACUGGGCGUAAAGCGCACGUAGGCGGAUCUUUAAGUCAGGGGUGAAAUCCCGAGGCUCAACCUCGGAACUGCCUUUGAUACUGGGGAUCUCGAGUCCGGGAGAGGUGAGUGGAACUGCGAGUGUAGAGGUGAAAUUCGUAGAUAUUCGCAAGAACACCAGUGGCGAAGGCGGCUCACUGGCCCGGAACUGACGCUGAGGUGCGAAAGCGUGGGGAGCAAACAGG
rnacentral:rRNA from 1 species